rnacentral:rRNA from 1 species
CCCUUAGAUGUUCGGGGCCGCACGCGCGCUACACUGAAGGAAUCAGCACGUCUUUCUCCUUGUCCGAAAGGACUGGGUAACCCGCUGAACCUCCUUCGUGCUAGGGAUUGGGGCUUGUAAUUCUUCCCCAUGAACGAGGAAUUCCCAGUAAGCGCGAGUCAUAAGCUCGCGUUGAUUACGUCCCUGCCCUUUGUACACACCGCCCGUCGCUACUACCGAUUGGAUGGUUUAGUGAGAUCCUCGGAUUGGUCCCGGCGCGGCCUCUGGUCGUGCCGGAGUGCCGAAAAGAAUGUCGAACUUGAUCAUCUAGGGGAAGUAAAAGUCGUAACA